AUUGAACGCUGGCGGCAGGCCUAACACAUGCAAGUCGAACGAGUGGCGGACGGGUGAGUAAUGUCUGGGAAACUGCCUGAUGGAGGGGGAUAACUACUGGAAACGGUAGCUAAUACCGCAUACCAUCGGAUGUGCCCAGAUGGGAUUAGCUAGUAGGGGGGGUAAAGGCUCACCUAGGCGACGAUCCCUAGCUGGUCUGAGAGGAUGACCAGCCACACUGGAACUUAGAUACGGUCCAGACUCCCACGGGAGGCAGCAGUGGGCAAUAGUGCACGAUUGGCGCAAGCCGUAUUCAGUCAUGCCGAGUGUAUGAAGAAGUCCUUCGGGUUUGAAAGUACUUGCAGCGGGGAUGCGUUACCCGCAGACGAAGCACCGGCUAACUCCGUGCCAGCAGCCGCGGUAAUUC
rnacentral:rRNA from 1 species